UACGAAGGAUGCAAGCGUUAUCCGGAUUUAUUGGGUUUAAAGGGAGCGUAGGCGGCCUUAUAAGUCAGUGGUGAAAUCUCGUUGCUUAACAACGAACGUGCCAUUGAUACUGUAGGGCUUGAGUACAGAUGCCGUUGGCGGAAUGUGUCAUGUAGCGGUGAAAUGCAUAGAUAUGACACAGAACACCGAUUGCGAAGGCAGCUGACGAAACUGUAACUGACGCUGAGGCUCGAAAGCGUGGGGAGUCAAACAGGA
rnacentral:rRNA from 1 species